GGGGGGGGGGGGGGGGGGGGGGGGGGGGGGCACCCUGCGGCACCCGCACCCCCUAAUCCCACCGGCAUCCACACCCCUAAUCCCACCAGCACCCACACCCCCAAAACCCACCGGCAUCUGCACCCUGAGCAACCCACCAGCACCUGCACCCCACUAACCUCACAGCAUCUGUACCCCCAUAACCCCACUGGCAACUGCACCCCGAUGUCUGCACCCCAUAACCCCACCAGCAUCAGCACCCCUGGUACUGUUGGCACCUGCUGUGCCAAACUUCCCCCCAGCAUCCACAUCCCCAAACUGCCCCCCCCGGGCAUCUGCAGCCCCCUAACCCCACCAGAAUCUGCACCCCACUGAACUGGGGGGGGGGGGGGGGGGGGGGGGGGGGGGGGGGGGGGGGGGGGGGGGG
rnacentral:lncRNA from 12 species